UACAGAGGUCUCAAGCGUUGUUCGGAUUCAUUGGGCGUAAAGGGUGCGUAGGCGGCGCGGUAAGUCGGGUGUGAAAUUUCGAGGCUUAACUUCGAAACUGCAUUCGAUACUGCCGUGCUUGAGGACUGGAGAGGAGACUGGAAUUUACGGUGUAGCGGUGAAAUGCGUAGAUAUCUGGAGGAACACCGGUGGCGAAGGCGGCAUCCUGGACCAUAACUGACACUGAUAAGCGAAAGCCAGGGGAGCAAACGGG
rnacentral:rRNA from 1 species